AGAGUUUGAUCCUGGCUCAGGACGAACGCUGGCGGUGUGCUUCACACAUGCAAGUCGAACGGAGUAGCAAUACUCAGUGGCGGACGGGUGAGUAACACGUGGGAAUCUACCAUUAGGUGGGGAAUAACAGGCCGAAAGGACUGCUAAUGCCGCAUAUGUAGGCAUCUCGACAGAGAUGUUUAUGAAAGGAGUAAUCCGCCUUUUGAUGAGCCCGCGUCCGAUUAGCUAGUUGGUAGGGUAAAAGCCUACCAAGGCGACGAUCGGUAGGUGGUCUGAGAGGAUGAUCACCCACAAUGGGACUGAGACACGGCCCAUACUCCUACGGGAGGCAGCAGUGGGGAAUUUUACGCAAUGGGGGAAACCCUGACGUAGCGACACCGCGUGAGCGAAGAAGCCCUUUGGGGUGUAAAGCUCUGUCAACAGGAACGAAACAAAUGACGGUACCUGUGGAGGAAGCAUCGGCUAACUACGUGCCAGCAGCCGCGGUAAGACGUAGGAUGCAAGCGUUGUCCGGAUUUAUUGGGCGUAAAGAGUUCGUAGGCGGUUUGUUAAGUCUGAUGUUAAAGACCGGGGCUCAACCUCGGAAAUGCAUUGGACACUGGCAGACUGGAGUGCAGUAGAGGCUAGUGGAAUUCCCAGUGUAGCGGUGAAAUGCGUAGA
rnacentral:rRNA from 1 species